UACGGGGGGAGCAAGCGUUGUUCGGAUUUACUGGGCGUAAAGGGCGCGUAGGCGGCCAGCACAAGUCAGUUGUGAAAUCUCCGAGCUUAACUCGGAACGGUCAACUGAUACUGUGCGGCUAGAGUGCGGAAGGGGCAACUGGAAUUCUUGGUGUAGCGGUGAAAUGCGUAGAUAUCAAGAGGAACACCUGCGGCGAAGGCGGGUUGCUGGGCCGACACUGACGCUGAGGCGCGAAAGCUAGGGGAGCAAACGGG
rnacentral:rRNA from 1 species